UUUACUGUGAAUGGGAGAGAGGUCUCACUUGGAAAUGUUUGGAAUUGUGGCUCGGAUAUCCCAAAGAUUAAACAGAAAAAAACCUUCCCAAGCAGGGGCUCGAUUCGCAAGCUGUGGAAGGACACUCCUGGCUGGCAAGAGAUACACACCUGCAGACACAAAUGCACCCAAACAUGCACGUGGCGACACAGAACGCGCAUCCACACGCAUGUGCCAUGGAGACGCAUGUAAACACAGGUGUAUGAGCCUAAGGCUGUGUUUGGAUCUGGGCAGGAGAGCUGGAAGAGGCUUCCAUUAAGAUCAACAGUGGAAGGCAGCUGGCAAAAUGCCCACUCUGUGACAGCUCUGGGGACACAGAAGGCCCCCUCAUCGCCGUCAUGCUCCGUGUCUUAUCAUUGUAUUCUAUGCCAACCUCUACUUCGAAAACUGGUAAAUUCACUUUUCAAAAAGAUUCCACACCUUACAAAGCCACCUUCAAUAGUAUUCAUUUAAAUGUUGGGCGCCUGGGUGGCUCAGUGGGUUAAAGCCUCUGCCUUCAGCUCAGGUCAUGAUCUCAGGGUCCUGGGAUCGGGUCCUGCGUCGGGCUCUCUGCUCAGCGGGGCGCCUGCUUCCCCUUCUUUCUCUGCCUACUUGUGGUCUC